rnacentral:rRNA from 1 species
GACUCUCGGCAACGGAUAUCUCGGCUCACGCAUCGAUGAAGAACGUAGCAAAAUGCGAUACUUGGUGUGAAUUGCAGAAUCCCGUGAACCAUCGAGUUUUUGAACGCAAGUUGCGCCCGAAGCCUUUUGGCCAAGGGCACGUCUGCCUGGGCGUCAC